AACGAACGCUGGCGGCGUGGAUAAGACAUGCAAGUCGAACGGGAUAUGAUUUGUAGCAAUACGAAUGAUGUCUAGUGGCGUAAGGGUGCGUAACACGUGGGCAAUCUGCCGAAAAGUGGGGGAUAGCUCGCCGAAAGGCGAAUUAAUACCGCAUGUGGUUAAGGACGACAUCUUCCUGACACCAAAGCCGGGGUAACCUGGCGCUUUUUGAUGAGCCCGCGGCCUAUCAGCUAGUUGGUGAGGUAAUGGCUCACCAAGGCUAUGACGGGUAGCUGGUCUGAGAGGACGACCAGCCACACUGGAACUGAGACACGGUCCAGACACCUACGGGUGGCAGCAGUCGAGAAUUUUUCUCAAUGGGGGAAACCCUGAAGGAGCGACGCCGCGUGGAGGAUGAAGGUCUUCGGAUUGUAAACUCCUGUCAUUUGGGAACAAUUGCAGGCGAUUAACUGUCGUCUGUUUGAUAGUACCAGAAGAGGAAGAGACGGCUAACUCUGUGCCAGCCGCCGCCAUAAUAC
rnacentral:rRNA from 1 species